rnacentral:rRNA from 1 species
UACGUAGGGGGCUAGCGUUGUCCGGAAUCAUUGGGCGUAAAGAGCGUGUAGGCGGUCCGGUAAGUCCGCUGUGAAAGUCGGGGGCUCAACCCUCGAAUGCCGGUGGAUACUGUCGGGCUAGAGUGCGGAAGAGGCGAGUGGAAUUCCUGGUGUAGCGGUGAAAUGCGCAGAUAUCAAGAGGAACACCUGCGGCGAAGGCGGGUUGCUGGGCCGACACUGACGCUGAAGCGCGAAAGCCAGGGGAGCGAACGGG